AAAGAAAAAGAUUUUCUUGGGGGUAACUAAGCCUUUUAAGGCAGAAGUGACCAUGCCUUUCUGUUUAGCAACCAGAGGGUUGAUUCUGUAAAUAUAUUUGCUAUUCCAACAUUACCUAAAACCCAAGAUUAUCCAUGGCUUCAAGUUUCUUUUUCUCUUUGUUCUAUGCAUGGCAUUUAAUGAAGAUGGGUCACAUGUGGACUCUGAUUUCACGAAGAAAUGUAUGAUGCUCAGCAACAGUUCUGUCACAACACACUUAGGCUAUCGCUCUGAUACGGAAGACCUUCUCCAAGAAGCCCUUCUGGCAUGUAACCUUCUGAACUUGUCAAGUGAAAGUAGUCAGAAAAGUGGCUGUCUACUGAUGAUGCAGGUCUCAGUUGUUUCUCUCUCCUUCCUUCUCUCUUCCUGCAGAGUGUCUGAGGUCCUAAGAAUGAACGGGGAGAGAAACAGAAGAGAGAGCCUCCAAGCCUCAACAAACACAAGUGUUGGUUAUAGAACACCUACCCAAUAUAAUUGAUGGCUGUGAAGACUAUGUGGCAAUGUGAAAAACCCUUCAGAUGGAACAUUCAGUGAAAAAAGUAAGAAUCCAAGUUGUGUGUUUGAAUAGCACGGCUAUUUUUUAAAAAAGACCCAUGACCUGCUAAUUGGUCCAGCCCCUGCUUACUCUUCGACCUCAUCUCCUGUAACUCUC
rnacentral:lncRNA from 1 species